ACUGCGGUCUAGUUAUAAGCAAUUAUACCGUGAAACUGCGAAUGGCUCAUUAAAUCAGUUAUCGUUUAUUUGAUAAUACCUUACUACUUGGAUAACCGUGGUAAUUCUAGAGCUAAUACAUGCUGAAAAUCCCGACUUCGGAAGGGAUGUGUUUAUUAGAUAAAAAACCAAUGCCCUUCGGGGCUCUUUGGUGAUUCAUGAUAACUUUACGGAUCGCAUAGCCUUGCGCUGGCGACGGUUCAUUCAAAUUUCUGCCCUAUCAACUUUCGAUGGUAAGGUAUUGGCUUACCAUGGUUUCAACGGGUAACGGGGAAUUAGGGUUCGAUUCCGGAGAGGGAGCCUGAGAAACGGCUACCACAUCCAAGGAAGGCAGCAGGCGCGCAAAUUACCCAAUCCCGACACGGGGAGGUAGUGACAAUAAAUACUGAUACAGGGCUCUUUUGGGUCUUGUAAUUGGAAUGAGUACAAUUUAAACCUCUUAACGAGGAACAAUUGGAGGGCAAGUCUGGUGCCAGCAGCCGCGGUAAUUCCAGCUCCAAUAGCGUAUAUUAAAGUUGUUGCAGUUAAAAAGCUCGUAGUUGAAACUUGGGCCUGGCUGGCGGGUCCGCCUCACCGCGUGCACUCGUCCGGCCGGGCCUUCCUUCUGAAGAACCUCAUGCCCUUCACUGGGCGUGUUGGGGAAUCAGGACUUUUACUUUGAAAAAAUUAGAGUGUUCAAAGCAGGCCUUUGCUCGAAUACGUUAGCAUGGAAUAAUAAAAUAGGGCGUGCGUUUCUAUUUUGUUGGUUUCUAGAGACGCCGCAAUGAUUAACAGGAACAGUCGGGGGCAUCAGUAUUCAGUUGUCAGAGGUGAAAUUCUUGGAUUUACUGAAGACUAACUACUGCGAAAGCAUUUGCCAAGGAUGUUUUCAUUAAUCAGUGAACGAAAGUUAGGGGAUCGAAGACGAUCAGAUACCGUCGUAGUCUUAACCGUAAACUAUGCCGACUAGGGAUCGGGCGAUGUUCUUUUUCUGACUCGCUCGGCACCUUACAGAAAAUCAAAGUUUUUGGGUUCUGGGGGGAUUUUGGUCCCAGGCUGAACCUUAAGAAAUUGACGGAAGGCACCACCAGGGGGGGAACCUGCGGUUAUGUUGCCCCACCCGGGGAACUCCCCGGGCCCAAAAAAAAAGGAUUAAAAAAUGAAAACUUUUUUGUUUUUUUGGAGGGGGGGUGGGGGGCCUUUAAACAGGGGGAAACUCCCCCCUUUAUAAUAAAUAAA
rnacentral:rRNA from 1 species